GGUCCCGUAGCCAAGUGGCUAAGGCAAUGGACUGCAACUCCGUGAUCGCCGGUUCGAAUCCGGCCGGGACCUCCA
rnacentral:tRNA from 1 species